rnacentral:misc_RNA from 1 species
UCAAACUUGGUCAUUUAGAGGAAGUAAAAGUCGUAACAAGGUCUCCGUUGGUGAACCAGCGGAGGGAUCAUUAAAGAGUUCUAUAACUCCCAAACCCAUGUGAACAUACCUUACGUUGCCUCGGCAGGUCGCGCCUACCCCGUAGCCCCCCUACCCUGUAGGACCUACCCGGUAGGCGCGGGUAAGCCUGCCGGCGGCCCACGAAACUCUGUUUAGCCAUUGUAUCUCUGAACAUAUAACUAAAUAAGUUAAAACUUUCAACAACGGAUCUCUUGGUUCUGGCAUCGAUGAAGAACGCAGC